CCUUAGUAACGGCGAGUGAAGCGGCAAAAGCUCAAAUUUGAAAUCUGGUACCUUUGGUGCCCGAGUUGUAAUUUGGAGAGUACCACUUUGGGACUGUACUUUGCCUAUGUUCCUUGGAACAGGACGUCAUGGAGGGUGAGAAUCCCGUGUGGCGAGGGUGUCAGUUCUUUGUAAAGGGUGCUCGAAGAGUCGAGUUGUUUGGGAAUGCAGCUCUAAGUGGGUGGUAAAUUCCAUCUAAAGCUAAAUACAGGCGAGAGACCGAUAGCGAACAAGUACAGUGAUGGAAAGAUGAAAAGAACUUUGAAAAGAGAGUGAAAAAGUACGUGAAAUUGUUGAAAGGGAAGGGCAUUUGAUCAGACAUGGUGUUUUGCGCCCCUUGCCUCUCGUGGGCUUGGGACUCUCGCAGCUCACUGGGCCAGCAUCGGUUUUGGCGGCCGGAAAAAACCUAGGGAAUGUGGCUCUGCGCCUCGGUGUAGAGUGUUAUAGCCCUGGGGAAUACGGCCAGCCGGGACCGAGGACUGCGAUACUUGUUAUCUAGGAUGCUGGCAUAAUGG
rnacentral:rRNA from 1 species